AGAAAAUCUCAGAAACGGAGUUUGUUUGGCGGUGGAAUAGAGUUGGUGCUUGGCCUCUGGUCCAGAUGGUUUCUCCUCCUACAUAAUGGAGCAUCAGCAAGGCUUUCUUCCGUUAGCCUGCCAUGGUCAUCCUUCUUGUUAGUCUCAUCCUGGAUACGCGCUGCAGUCAGGCUGAUGGGCCGGCCGGGUUUGGGCAUGUGAUAGACAUUAACACUGGAAGAGAAGUCCAGAUCAUUAUGUUUAAGAGCUUUACAAUGCUCAUUAACAGCUUUCUACCACACAGUCCUGGCAGGAACUCCUGGCUCCUGCAGCCUUUGGCCCGGCUCCGUUACAGCCUCCUCUCAGUGUUUGAAGACAGACUUUAACCCUGACAGCCCUCUACCUGACACGCACAGUCAGCCCCUCUUUAGAGGGUUUAUCCUUUUUCACAGUCUAACAGCUGGCUUAAACCAGGUCAAAGAAGCGAUAUUAAUGUACUCUCGCCAUCCACCUCCUUUAGCACUUCAUCAGGAAUGUUCACAAGGGAUCAGAUACGUUGAUGGCGGUGCACGUUGCAGUACUGAAGUCAAAUUUACCUGCUACAUAUGUGGCUCAGACUGGCCACUACUGUUAUUUUCAUAAGACCACUUAAGACCCACUAAGAUAAACACACUACCGCUGAGAAAUCUUUAAACAAUUUGUCACUGAACAGUUUCCAGGCAAAGUCUUGAUUUAAUGCAUCAAAUUGAGCCCCACUUCAUGGCGAGUUUCAAGACAGUUGAUGGAACUGUCACUUGGCAUAUUUGGCUAGCGCUAUAAGAUUUAGUCUUUUUUUUUUUUUAAACCAUUUUAUGCCUUGCAAUCCUAAACAUUUGGUUUUCUGUGACAUUUGCAAUUUCUGCUUGUCUACUAGAUAAAAACAUCUAAGUUUAUAUCUAGCUGGUUUUGUUGAAAUUACAAGAAUGCAUAGUGAGUCUUGGUAGCAUUAAUAAGACUGAAUAUUACAUACAAAUCUGUAACGUAUUGUCGUGUAUGCCAUCCUUUUUCUGCCAAAGUGUAUAUGAAUAUAUUGUUUUUUUGGAAUUUCCUUUAUAAUUAUGAUAACUACAAUUUCCCGUUAUUUUUGCUAAUUUUCUUUGUAAAGACAAAAAACUAAAAAUAGACAUUAAAAAUGUACAAAUAAUGAAAAUUAAAAAUUAAGAUAUUCAGUUAUUAAUUCAUCAAUUUAUCAAUUAUAUGAUAAGUUCAUUUAAA